UCCGCUUUUUCAAACAUUGAAUAGUGUGACAGGCCUACUUGUAAAUGAAAGCAGAUUCUAGUGCACAAUGUCUAUUAUUUAAGAACAUAAUUGCCGUUGAAAUUACUUACUUUAUUUACGGGAUGUUAACUGGUGUGAAUAGUUAUUGGGCUCUUUCUUUUGAUGAUUGUGUGAUAGUGUCAUUCAUAAAGUUGUGUUCUACUUGGG
rnacentral:lncRNA from 1 species